UACGUAGGGUGCGAGCGUUAAUCGGAAUUACUGGGCGUAAAGCGUGCGCAGGCGGUUUUGUAAGCCAGAUGUGAAAUCCCCGGGCUUAACCUGGGAAUGGCAUUUGGGACUGCAAGGCUGGAGUGUGGCAGAGGAGACUGGAAUUCCUGGGUGUAGCAGUGAAAUGCGUAGAUAUCAGGAGGAAUACCGAUGGCGAAGGCAGGUCUCUGGGCAUUAACUGACGCUGGAGGAGCGAAAGCAUGGGGAGCGAACAGGA
rnacentral:rRNA from 1 species